UCUUUAGCUGUUCCGUGUCAGAACCUUUUUUCUCCGUGAACUUCAUCUCGUCAGGCGUCUAGAGCUAAACCAUCCGAUUAGACUCUCCACUUUUAGAUUUCAGAUUGUUAGUGAAAGGACCUGGACCUGGACCUGGACUUUGUGCUCCUCUCUUCAGGUAACGUUCAGCAGGUCAUCAGAGAACUGCUUUACCCACAAUCCAGCAGGCAGCUCAGGUGUGAGGCUCUGUUCUCACCACCAGAUGGCGUCAGAUCCAACAGAACCAGAGGAGGAGGGAACCUGUGAGGAUGAAGGCUUGGAGAUUCAUUCAGAGGGACAGAAACUGGUCCGGAAACGAGUCCAGGACAGAUUCCAGAUCAGAUGUGUGAUGAAAAAAACUACUCAAUUUAAAUGUAACGACCACAAAAGAAUGUAAAACGAUUCAAGAUAUGAUGUAAAACAACUGCAAAAAGUGUAAAAUGACCAAAAAUGUGACAAUAAACAAGUACAAAGAUAUCAAAAUUGACACAAAUGUGACACCAAAUGUCAAAUGCAAAACGACCAAAAUUAAACGCACAAACAGCCACAAA